AUGGCUCAGGACGAACGCUGGCGGCGUGCCUAAUACAUGCAAGUCGAACGGUCUUUUCUAUGGAAGCUUGCUUCCACUGAGAAGAUAGUGGCGAACGGGUGAGUAACACGUGGGUAACCUGCCCAUAAGAGGGGGGAUAACAUCCGGAAACGGGUGCUAAUACCGCAUAGUUUUCUUGAUCGCAUGAUCGGGAAAGGAAAGACGGCCUUUGUGCUGUCGCUUAUGGAUGGACCCGCGGCGUAUUAGUUAGUUGGUGAGGUAACGGCUCACCAAGACGAUGAUACGUAGCCGACCUGAGAGGGUGAUCGGCCACAUUGGGACUGAGACACGGCCCAAACUCCUACGGGAGGCAGCAGUAGGGAAUCUUCCGCAAUGGACGAAAGUCUGACGGAGCAACGCCGCGUGAGUGAAGAAAGGUUUUCGGAUCGUAAAACUCUGUUGUCAGAGAAGAACAAGUUGGAGAGUAACUGCUCCAGCCUUGACGGUAUCUGACCAGAAAGCCACGGCUAACUACGUGCCAGCCGCAGC
rnacentral:rRNA from 1 species